UACGUAGGGUGCGAGCGUUAAAUCGGAAUUACUGGGCGUAAAGCGUGCGCAGGCGGUGAUGUAAGACAGGUGUGAAAUCCCCGGGCUUAACCUGGGAACUGCAUUUGUGACUGCAUCGCUGGAGUGCGGCAGAGGGGGAUGGAAUUCCGCGUGUAGCAGUGAAAUGCGUAGAUAUGCGGAGGAACACCGAUGGCGAAGGCAAUCCCCUGGGCCUGCACUGACGCUCAUGCACGAAAGCGUGGGGAGCAAACAGG
rnacentral:rRNA from 1 species